UUCUGCGCGGGCUCUCCUCUCUCUCUAUUCAUUCUCUGUGUCUCAUCUGCUCUCUCCUCAUCUCUGAAGCUUCAUCUCCGAAAUGCCUAUGUGAGUCUCCGAAAUUUCUGGACCCAUCUCCAUCUCCAUCCCCGAAAUUUCUCAACGGAUUCACGCUCGCCCAUCUCCAUCGCUGACCCUCACCCAUUCACCGAUUCACCCUCACCGACUCACCCUCACCCUCACCUCACCCAGUCACCGAUUCACCCUCUCCCUAACCUCACCCAUUCACCGAUUCACCCUCUCCCUAACCUCACCCAUUCACCGAUUCACCCUCACCGAUUCAUCCUCACCCAUCUCCAUCUCUGAAGCUUCACCCUCACCCAUUCACCGAUUCACCCUCACCUCACCCAUUCACCCUCACCGAUUCACCCUCACCCAUUCUCAAGGGUUUUUAGGUUUGGGUUCAGAUUUUGCAAAAAUGAAGCUCCGUCGGUGUUGGGGGAUUCAGCUCCGUCGGUGUUGGUGCUGACUGAAAGAGUUUUUGUUGUUGAUUUAGCAUCUUCGAGACCGUAAGCUCGAGUUCAUCUUCAGAAAGUUUGCUCGGUUCAUCUUCAAUUACUAGCACACAUAAAAGUGAAAACAGAAUGUAAUUGAUCUUUGGAAGUUUCAAGU